GUCGGAAAGCAGCGCAUCCAGCUCCUUCUUGGACUCCAAGAACCGGUCCCUGUCGGCUGCGUCAACGAUGUAGGCAACCGCAUCCAUCUGCAGGAUUCAACCAUCGUUACAACCAUGGAGCGACGAGAGCAAUGUAGAGAAAAUAAUGAGAACAACUCGAUUUCAUGUAUA